GACUCUGUACUGAACGUGAAGUUCAGUGAAGGAGUGCUGACUUGGGCUAACUGCCCAGUGCUUGCGGAGGGAGACCGCGUCCGAAGAGGCAGCAGAAUGUUUUCCUGUAUAUUUAAUAUUUCUAUAUAGGGCCCUGGUGAAACCACAAAUGGACUGUCAUGUACAGUUCUGGUAAGUCCAACCAAGAACUCCUGCAUGUAACAGGACGAGUGCAAAAAGAGUUCAAACAAACUUCUCUACGGGAGAUUAAGCAUACAAGGACUUUACGUUCCAGAGUUUAAAAACAAAACGAGUGAUGAUCUCAUCAAAACAUGCAAAAUUCUUGCGGGGCUAAACAGGUUCGAUGCAAAGUUGAUGUUUCCCCUGUGAAGUGGCAAAGCCAGAACAAUUGCCAAUGCCUGCAACCCUACAGUAUUUGCACAACGUGCCCCCAGCUCCAAUAAAGCUUGUUCCAAAGGUCGAAUCCUUUUUUGGUAAUUAGCAAACAUGUGAUCUUGAUGCGGUACAACUUCAGCGUAGCCACGCGUAAGCUAACCGCAGCUGAACAUUACCGAGUGCUAUUCAGCGGUCAGCAAAAGAUACAUCUGCCAAGCCCCAGCUACAAACCAAGCACGAACUCGGAACUUAUUCCCUUCACGCUAACUGAUGUGACUGGUUACCAGAAAAAACGAGCAACACGGAAUACAAAGCAGCCACGCGUGCUCUGCUGCUGUUUUCUUUUUUUGACUGACUGUGAAUGAACAAAAGCAGCACAGCCACCUCGUGUAGAUAAUGGACUGCCUUCAUACAAUGCUCUCGAUAAACUGCAUCUCCAAAUGUUCAUCUUCAUUGUAACAUACAAGAUGACAGAGAAGACACCGGAGAGAACCGGUCGUAGGAUUCCACCCGGUGGGGGACCACGAUUCGAUGGAGCAAGGUGACGGGGAACACGGAGGACUGAUGUUGCUGAGGGUCUUCUGUCUCGGUGAGCUUGAACGGGAGACUUCUGUUUAGAGUCACGUGUCGGGCUUAAGCUGGGUGGACUAUUUGACAAUGCUGAUGAAGGAGCUGGGUAAAAAAAAAAGUUUAAUAUUAUAGUUGGGCUUCAAUUUUUGAAAAACUUUAAUUAAUUUACUUUGCAUUUGCAUUGACAAUCUAUAAUACUGGGAAAUCCACACAAGCAUCAUACGAAACACACACAAAAUGCUGGAGGACUGAGCAUUUGAAAACCUCCAUUCGAAUGUUGAAUGAGCAUCAUAUGAAAAUUAUCUGCAAGUUUCAACAAGUAUGUAAAUUGUGCAGUGGGGCUCACUUUACUUGGAUCCAAUCUAAUGUUCCAACAGUUGGGUGUCUCCCAAUUGGAAAACACGAAAAAGCUCAAACUCUCUGCACUGGCAAGCUGCCUCUUUUACAUUCAGUUAAAUUCUUAAGACUUGGUCAUACACAAUCUGCCUCCAAAUUCACUAGAUAAAUCAAGUGUGUAAUUACAGGGAUUGCAUGCUAAUACACAAUAUAGCGGUUACUUGAAAAAUAAAUCAAAACUUCUUAAAGACUGUGAGGGAUUCGACAGUGUAUGACUUGCUUCCAAAUAACCAAGUUCCAAGUUGAAAAAAGUACCUUAAAUAUUCUAUUACGAAACCAGCAAAGACAAAUGAUCCUAUAUAAUGAUAUUAGCAAAACUAGCAGAAUUAGCAAUAAGAGAAUUAGCAUACUAAGUGAAAUAAGCGGUCAACAGGAAAAAAAAAUCCAUGUCCAUAUUAAGUCUCUAUCUAACUAACGACACAAAGGGGGAAUACGUGACUAUACUCACGUACUUCUACCAUGCCCAAACCCACAUGACAAAUUACCAUAACCCGUAAUAAAAAUACCCAAGGCAAAAUAUAAUACAUCAAAAAUAGGUCCAUGACUCCUACACACAACUGGAAAAUAGAAACUUUAACCAAGUGCAUUUCAUGGCUAUCUGGAGAAAACAAAUAUCAGAGUUGUAUUGUACAUGAAUUCUUUGACAAUAUGGUGAACCUUUGAACCUUUUCUUGGUAGAUUGGUUUGGAGACAACUAGAUACAGAAGGGCUUCCAUUUGAGUUUUAUAUUGGCCCCACCAAAAUUAAAAUGUGUGAACAAUCUUAAAUAAGUGCUACGAAUUAUGUAAUAUUAAAUGAGAAUGUUAUUUCAAUUAACCGCCAAUAAAUACCGCAAUUAUUUAAAAUAAUAAUGAUGGCAUAUUGUAUGAUGCUUGCCCAACAGGGAGAGGAAAUGAAAAAUACCAUUUGUAUAUAUCAUGUCUCCUAGCAACAAGCUGACACAAGCUGCUUUGUCCCCUGAUCUUGCUGGAAAUCAGGAUGUAUAUAUCCCAUAUGUAUAGAAAACAAUA